AACGAACGCUGGCGGCGUGCCUAACACAUGCAAGUCGAACGAGAAAGGGGCUUCGGCUCCGAGUAAAGUGGCGCACGGGUGAGUAACACGUGGGUAACCUGCCUCUAAGAUUGGGAUAACUCGUCGAAAGAUGAGCUAAUACCGAAUAAGACCACAGUUCCCGCGGGAACAGGGGUCAAAGGUAGCCUCUGCUUGCAAGCUAUCACUUAGAGAUGGGCCUGCGCACCAUUAGCUAGUUGGUAGGGUAACGGCCUACCAAGGCAAAGAUGGUUAGCUGGUCUGAGAGGAUGAUCAGCCACACUGGAACUGAGACACGGUCCAGACUCCUACGGGAGGCAGCAGUGGGGAAUAGUGCGCAAUGGGCGAAAGCUUGACGCAGCAACGCCGCGUGAGUGAUGAAGGCCGUCGGGUCGUAAAGCUCUGUCGGGAGGAACGAAUGCUCCUGAGGUUAACAGCCUCGGGAGGUGACGGUACCUUCAAAGGAAGCACCGGCUAACUCUGUG
rnacentral:rRNA from 1 species